CUGCAAUGGUGGUAUUUACUUUUAUUAUUAUGCUGCAGAAUAUUUUUUAUUUGAUUAUUUUGAAGCAGUUAGCAUAGCAACUUAAGUUGAAACUAAUUUAUUAUAAUCAUAAAAUCUUAGAAAAUUUUGUGGUGGUGCUCAUUUCAAAUUCUACAUGAUUUUUUUGCAUAUAUAUUUGUAUAUAGGGGACAUAAUAAAAAAAGUACUUUGUGGUUUAUCACCUUUUUCAACUAGGGUCCUGUGGAUUAGUUUUUAAUAAAUAGGUACUUGUGGUUUGAUGCCGCUGGCAAAGUGAGGCUUUUUCACUUAACAUCAUUUAAUUUUACGGAUGUGGCAUUAAAUAUUUAAUUAAAAAUAUUUUUUUAAUUUAAUAAUGAUUUCUACUUAAAAUAAAAAUAAAAAACAUAAUUCCACCAUUGUUCAUACCCAUUUUUUUUCUCUCUCUCAUACCCCUCGUGCAUGUAUCUGUUGAACAACUUGCACCUCCAUGGUCUUGGCCUUCCUUAGCUCCGGCGGUGGCUGCUUCUCUGCGAUCACGGUCACAGAUAUGCAACUGGAAUCUCAAUAUUG
rnacentral:misc_RNA from 1 species